GACAAUGUAGCUCAGUGGUAGAGUGCUUGCCCAGCAUGCAUGAGGCCCUGGGUACCAUCCCCAGUAUAGCA
rnacentral:tRNA from 1 species